UACGAAGGGGGCUAGCGUUGCUCGGAAUUACUGGGCGUAAAGGGCGCGUAGGCGGAUGUUUAAGUCAGCGGUGAAAGCCCAGGGCUCAACCUUGGAACUGCCAUUGAUACUGGACAUCUUGAGUACGGGAGAGGUGAGUGGAACACCGAGUGUAGAGGUGAAAUUCGUAGAUAUUCGGCAGAACACCAGUGGCGAAGGCGACUCACUGGCCCGUUACUGACGCUGAGGCGCGAAAGCGUGGGGAGCAAACAGG
rnacentral:rRNA from 1 species